GAGUGGCGAACGGGCGAGGAAUGCGUUUCUAACGUGCCCCAAGGUCGAGGAUAGCUCGGGGAAACCCGGGGUAAUACUCGAUGACCCCCAUGGAUCGCAUGGUUCGUGGGGCAAAGGCUUGCUGCCUUGGGAUCGGGAAACGCCCUAUCAGGUUGUUGGUGAGGUAACGGCUCACCAAGCCUAAGACGGGUAGCGGGUGUGAGAGCAUGACCCGCCGCAUCGGGACUGAGACACUGCCCGGACUCCUACGGGAGGCUGCAGCAACGGAUAUUGGGCAAUGAGCGAAAGCUUGACCCAGCAAUGCCGCGUGCAGGAGGAAGCCCCUCGGGGUGUAAACUGCUGUCAGGGUUUAGGAAGUUCUGACCAAACCCAAAGGAAGGGCCGGCUAACUUCGUGCCAGCAGCCGCGGUAAUACGAAGGGCCCAAGCGUUAAUCGGAAUCACUGGGCUUAAAGGGUGCGCAGGCGGAAUGGUCAGUGUCUUGUGAAAUCCCACGGCUCAACCGUGGAACUGCAGGGCAUACUGCCAUUCUUGAGGCCGGUAGAGGCCGCCGGAACUCUAGGUGUAGCGGUGAAAUGCGUAGAUAUCUAGAGGAACGCCAAAGACGAAGGUAGGCGGCUGGGCCGGGUUCUGACGCUCAGGCACGAAAGCGUGGGGAGCAAACAGGAUUAGAUACCCUGGUAGUCCACGCCGUAAACGUUGUGCACUAGGUGCUGGAGGUUCUGACACCAUCAGCGCCGAAGCGAAAGUGAUUAGUGCACCGCCUGGGGAGUACGGUCGCAAGGCUAAAACUCAAAGGAAUUGACGGGGGCUCACACAAGCGGUGGAGCAUGUGGCUUAAUUCGAGGCAACGCGAAGAACCUUAUCCUGGGCUUGACAUGCAUGGAUUAACGCUGGGAAACCAGCGCCACAUUCUUUGAGUGGAACAUGCACAGGUGCUGCAUGGCUGUCGUCAGCUCGUGCUGUGAAGUGUUGGGUUAAGUCCCUUAACGAGCGAAACCCCUGUCGCUAGUUACCAUCGGGUAAUGCUGGGGACUCUAGCGAGACUGCCGGUGUCAAACCGGAGGAAGGCGGGGAUGACGUCAAGUCCUCAUGGCCUUUAUGCCCAGGGCUGCACACGUGCUACAAUGGCGCCGACAGAGCGAAGCAAAACCGCGAGGUAGAGCAAAUCGCAAAAAAGGUGCCCCAGUUCGGAUUGCAGUCUGCAACUCGACUGCAUGAAGCCGGAAUCGCUAGUAAUCGCGUAUCAGCAACGACGCGGUGAAUACGUUCCUGAGCCUUGUACACACCGCCCGUCAAGUCAUGGAAGCCGGGAGUACCCGAAG
rnacentral:rRNA from 1 species